GGCGCAUUAGAAAAAGAAUAAUUGUUUUUUUAUACUACUCCAGGUGGCGUUUUACAUAUAAACAAUGCAUUACUCAAUGGACUACGAAGUAGACUUUAUAAUUAAUAACAAUUCUCAAGACAGACGGUGCCAUUUAAAUUGGACCUCAUUGGAAAUGGGCUGGACUCCGGCCUAAUUGGCGUUCCUGAUGCUCAUUACGUGAUGUAGACAAAGAAGCCACAACUAUCAGGAUAGAAUGUUCGGACUCAAUCGUGAAAGGGCAAUAGAACUUACCAAUUAUUCAUAGAUAGCCAAAAAUUGUGUCACUCAUCAAGCUUCCUGCCAGCUGGGCUUUCCGGGCAAGAAAUUCUGGAUUGAAAUUAAUUAAAAUAUAGUGUAAAUUUAAUUUUUUAAAUGUUUCCUCUGCAAUAAUCUCAAAUAUAAAUGUUAGCAAUAUGUAGUAAUUCUUAUAGGCUUUAUGUUUAUUAAUAUUGUAUUAUUACUGCUAAUGUUUAUCUUAUUAAUAGAGAAAGUAACCCGUUUGUUUUAAAGAAUAUAGACAUGUAAGAUAAUAAGAUAUAACAUUUUGAGGAUUAAAAUCAGAUUUAUUAAUUUGUGCCGGAUGUACAUAAUAUAGGCCUACAGUAUAUUAUAAAAUGUAUAUAUAAUUAUAUCACAACUUUAUUUCAAUGCUUGAAAAUAAAUAUCAAAAUGGAA